rnacentral:tRNA from 1 species
AUAAGAAGCAAUAUAUGCAAUUAGUUUCGGCCUAAAAAUUUAUGAUAAAAAUUUUAUCCUUAUU